rnacentral:rRNA from 1 species
AUACGUAGGGGGCGAGCGUUGUCCGGAAUUACUGGGCGUAAAGAGCACGUGGGCGGCUAUAUAAGUCAGGUGUGAAACACCUGGGCUUAACCGAGGGUAUGCAUCUGAAACUAUAUAGCUUGAGUCAAGGAGAGGAGAGCGGAAUUCCUGGUGUAGCGGUGAAAUGCGUAGAGAUCAGGAAGAAUACCGGUGGCGAAAGCGGCUCUCUGGACUUGAACUGACGCUGAGGUGCGAAAGCGUGGGGAGCAAACAGGAUUAGAUACCAUGGUAGUCCACGCCGUAAACGAUGGAUACUAGGUGUGGGUGAGGAAUCAUCCGUGCCGGAGUUAACGCAAUAAGUAUCCCGCCUGGGGAGUACGGCCGCAAGGUUGAA